rnacentral:rRNA from 1 species
AGCAGUAGCCGCGGGAAUACGAGGGGGGCAAGCGUUGUUCGGAAUUACUGGGCGUAAAGCGCACGUAGGCGGCUUUGUAAGUCAGAGGUGAAAGCCUGGAGCUCAACUCCAGAACUGCCUUUGAGACUGCAUCGCUCGAAUCCGGGAGAGGUGAGUGGAAUUCCGAGUGUAGAGGUGAAAUUCGUAGAUAUUCGGAAGAACACCAGUGGCGAAGGCGGCUCACUGGACCGGUAUUGACGCUGAGGUGCGAAAGCGUGGGGAGCAAACAGGAUUAGAUACCCCGGUAGUCCCUGUCUCUUAUAC